UUAAGCGACUAAGCGUACACGGUGGAUGCCCUGGCAGUCAGAGGCGAUGAAGGACGUGCUAAUCUGCGAUAAGCGUCGGUAAGGUGAUAUGAACCGUUAUAACCGGCGAUUUCCGAAUGGGGAAACCCAGUGUGAUUCGUCACACUAUCAUUAACUGAAUCCAUAGGUUAAUGAGGCGAACCGGGGGAACUGAAACAUCUAAGUACCCCGAGGAAAAGAAAUCAACCGAGAUUCCCCCAGUAGCGGCGAGCGAACGGGGAGCAGCCCAGAGCCUGAAUCAGUGUGUGUGUUAGUGGAAGCGUCUGGAAAGGCGCGCGAUACAGGGUGACAGCCCCGUACACAAAAAUGCACAUACUGUGAGCUCGAUGAGUAGGGCGGGACACGUGGUAUCCUGUCUGAAUAUGGGGGGACCAUCCUCCAAGGCUAAAUACUCCUGACUGACCGAUAGUGAACCAGUACCGUGAGGGAAAGGCGAAAAGAACCCCGGCGAGGGGAGUGAAAAAGAACCUGAAACCGUGUACGUACAAGCAGUGGGAGCCUCUUAAUGGGGUGACUGCGUACCUUUUGUAUAAUGGGUCAGCGACUUAUAUUCUGUAGCAAGGUUAACCGAAUAGGGGAGCCGAAGGGAAACCGAGUCUUAACUGGGCGUUAAGUUGCAGGGUAUAGACCCGAAACCCGGUGAUCUAGCCAUGGGCAGGUUGAAGGUUGGGUAACACUAACUGGAGGACCGAACCGACUAAUGUUGAAAAAUUAGCGGAUGACUUGUGGCUGGGGGUGAAAGGCCAAUCAAACCGGGAGAUAGCUGGUUCUCCCCGAAAGCUAUUUAGGUAGCGCCUCGUGAAUUCAUCUCCGGGGGUAGAGCACUGUUUCGGCAAGGGGGUCAUCCCGACUUACCAACCCGAUGCAAACUGCGAAUACCGGAGAAUGUUAUCACGGGAGACACACGGCGGGUGCUAACGUCCGUCGUGAAGAGGGAAACAACCCAGACCGCCAGCUAAGGUCCCAAAGUCAUGGUUAAGUGGGAAACGAUGUGGGAAGGCCCAGACAGCCAGGAUGUUGGCUUAGAAGCAGCCAUCAUUUAAAGAAAGCGUAAUAGCUCACUGGUCGAGUCGGCCUGCGCGGAAGAUGUAACGGGGCUAAACCAUGCACCGAAGCUGCGGCAGCGACACUAUGUGUUGUUGGGUAGGGGAGCGUUCUGUAAGCCUGUGAAGGUGUACUGUGAGGUAUGCUGGAGGUAUCAGAAGUGCGAAUGCUGACAUAAGUAACGAUAAAGCGGGUGAAAAGCCCGCUCGCCGGAAGACCAAGGGUUCCUGUCCAACGUUAAUCGGGGCAGGGUGAGUCGACCCCUAAGGCGAGGCCGAAAGGCGUAGUCGAUGGGAAACAGGUUAAUAUUCCUGUACUUGGUGUUACUGCGAAGGGGGGACGGAGAAGGCUAUGUUGGCCGGGCGACGGUUGUCCCGGUUUAAGCGUGUAGGCUGGUUUUCCAGGCAAAUCCGGAAAAUCAAGGCUGAGGCGUGAUGACGAGGCACUACGGUGCUGAAGCAACAAAUGCCCUGCUUCCAGGAAAAGCCUCUAAGCAUCAGGUAACAUCAAAUCGUACCCCAAACCGACACAGGUGGUCAGGUAGAGAAUACCAAGGCGCUUGAGAGAACUCGGGUGAAGGAACUAGGCAAAAUGGUGCCGUAACUUCGGGAGAAGGCACGCUGAUAUGUAGGUGAAGUCCCUUGCGGAUGGAGCUGAAAUCAGUCGAAGAUACCAGCUGGCUGCAACUGUUUAUUAAAAACACAGCACUGUGCAAACACGAAAGUGGACGUAUACGGUGUGACGCCUGCCCGGUGCCGGAAGGUUAAUUGAUGGGGUUAGCGGUAACGCGAAGCUCUUGAUCGAAGCCCGGUAAACGGCGGCCGUAACUAUAACGGUCCUAAGGUAGCGAAAUUCCUUGUCGGGUAAGUUCCGACCUGCACGAAUGGCGUAAUGAUGGCCAGGCUGUCUCCACCCGAGACUCAGUGAAAUUGAACUCGCUGUGAAGAUGCAGUGUACCCGCGGCAAGACGGAAAGACCCCGUGAACCUUUACUAUAGCUUGACACUGAACAUUGAGCCUUGAUGUGUAGGAUAGGUGGGAGGCUUUGAAGUGUGGACGCCAGUCUGCAUGGAGCCGACCUUGAAAUACCACCCUUUAAUGUUUGAUGUUCUAACGUUGGCCCCUAAUCGGGGUUGCGGACAGUGUCUGGUGGGUAGUUUGACUGGGGCGGUCUCCUCCUAAAGAGUAACGGAGGAGCACGAAGGUUGGCUAAUCCUGGUCGGACAUCAGGAGGUUAGUGCAAUGGCAUAAGCCAGCUUGACUGCGAGCGUGACGGCGCGAGCAGGUGCGAAAGCAGGUCAUAGUGAUCCGGUGGUUCUGAAUGGAAGGGCCAUCGCUCAACGGAUAAAAGGUACUCCGGGGAUAACAGGCUGAUACCGCCCAAGAGUUCAUAUCGACGGCGGUGUUUGGCACCUCGAUGUCGGCUCAUCACAUCCGGGGCUGAAGUAGGUCCCAAGGGUAUGGCUGUUCGCCAUUUAAAGUGGUACGCGAGCUGGGUUUAGAACGUCGUGAGACAGUUCGGUCCCUAUCUGCCGUGGGCGCUGGAGAACUGAGGGGCUGCUCCUAGUACGAGAGGACCGGAGUGGACGCAUCACUGGUGUUCGGGUUGUCAUGCCAAUGGCACUGCCCGGUAGCUAAAUGCGGAAGAGAUAAGUGCUGAAAGCAUCUAAGCACGAAACUUGCCCCGAGAUGAGUUCUCCCUGACUCCCUGAGAGUCCUGAAGGAACGUUGAAGACGACGACGUUGAUAGGCCGGGUGUGUAAGCGCAGCGAUGCGUUGAGCUAACCGGUACUAAUGAACCGUGAGGCUUAACCU
rnacentral:rRNA from 1 species